UUGGCGUAUCGGUCGUGCAGGUCGAUGCCGUCGAACCUCUGGGGGAACUGGACGUAGCAGGUCUUCUUUCCCAGGGCGGGGUCCAUCAUGAAACACAUGGCCUCCUUCAGCGCCUUGCUGUUGUUGAAGUAGUGGUCACAGUCCACGUUCAGGAGGUAGGCUCCGUUGGUCAGGACGGCGGACACCCGGAUCUGAAUGGCCCAAAGCAAAAGAGAGACGGCACACGUUUCAAUCUUCCGCGAGGGGAGGGGGCACGGCCCGGCAGCGAGACCAAGAGAUCAAUCACUCACCAGGGCGUUCAUGGCGCCGGCCUUCUUGUGGUGCUGGAACCCAGGCCGCUUCUCACGGGAGACGUAGACGAGCCGAGGCAGCUCGUUGCCGUCGGUGUCCAACCCCCCGCUGUGUCCCAGAAAGACCUGCGCGGAGGAAGACGAUAGGAGCACGGAUGAUCAGGACGACCGAGCUCCCAGAAGAAGAAAUGGAUGGGGAGAGAGAGAGAGAGGCGUCACCUGGAUCAUGCCCGGGUGGUCUCGCGGGUUGUUCCCAGGCCAGGGGGUCCCAUCCUGCAUCGUCCAACCUUCUUCGGGGGCCUUCUGGGCCUUCGCUACGAGGGCGUUGAUCCGCACCUUGAACUCUUCGUACUCUCUCUGAGAGACACACGAAGGCGGAUGUCAUGGAUCGAUCGUCCGGCGGACGCAUGGAACGGCAGCGAGAGCAGGGCGAGGUUUCACCUUCAUGGCCCGGCGUUCCUUGACGAACGAAGGCUGGAUCUUGUCCUUGAGGUAGUCGAUCUUCUGGGCGAAGUAGAACUCGGGGGCCCUGGGCUCUAUGCUGUGCUUCUUGCAGAAGGGCACCCACUUCCUGGCGAACUCGGAUGUCUCCGAGAGGGCCUCGAAGGUCAGCAUGGCCGACCCGUCGUCGGAGACAUAGCAGGAGACCUUGUCGACCGGGUAGUCCACGGCGAGGAUCGAGAGCACGGUGUUCGCCGUCACAAGAGGGGGCUCCUUCAGGGGAUCCACCGUACUCACGAACACGUCGAUGGGGGCCAGCUGGGAGGGCUCCCCCUCCCUGUCAUAUCUGCCGAAAGAAGAGAAGCCCCCCAUUCAUCAGCACAGAAUGGGGAGGAAUAAUCCCUGGAGCAUACAGCACGCAGAUAAAACCGUGGCGUUGACCAACCUGAGCGCCAGCCGGUCGAGGUAGGUCUCGCGGUUGAUCGGGUACCAUUUGGGGAACUGGUCGAGCAGCCAGGACAGCGCGAACCAGAUCUCGCAUAUGACGGAGACCAGCCACAGCGCGUAGGCGUUCUUCACUGGGUGGGUGACCCGGUACUGGAAGAAGAAGCCCACGAUGAUGAGCCGGAGGAUGAUGACCACCCGGUAGAGGUUCAGCUGAUUGGCAGGAAUCGGCACGAUCCGGUUCAAGGGCUGCCGAGCAUCGUCGGCCCUGCGAGAAUCCCCAAUCAGAGCGCCGUUUGCAUGCUGCAAUCGCUAAAUCGAGGAGCUGAAAUUGUGGAAUACUGAACAGCAUUGUUGAUAGAUGGUGUUCUAUACAUCUAGCAGGCAUGUCUGAAUCAAAACUUUGCUUAAUUCUUGUUGUUUACACUCUUUAGCCUGAACAGACAAAAUUAUGGAACGCUGAAGAUUGCGAGCAAGUGGGUGUAGUGAAACGUGGGGUUUUUCAGAGACCACCAAGCCAAUAAUAUAUGCAAGAGGUUGCUGAGGCAUGAGAAGGCGUACAUUUGGAUGUCUUCUCCGUUUGAACCGGUUCCCUCGAUAUCUCCUCCUGCCUUUCCUUCCACAUAUUUGCUCGUCACCUGCAUCAUGUUCUUGUCCUGCUUCAGCUUCCAGCUCUCCACUCUUUCCUUCCAGUCGACAUUUCCGAGUCCAUAGGAGUUCAAGUCCUUGGAAGGAUCCACGAUUCUCACCGGAACUGUAGCCACAGGGCCGUGAUCAACGACCGCAAGCUAUGAAGGGCAACAGGGCUGAGAAAGAUUGCAAGAAGAACUCACCCGGCGUGCUUGGAUCCAGAUAAGAUAGGGAGUUAGUUCGCUUCACGCCGGAUCCGAGAGAAUAUGAUGGGCUUUGCACGGACUGGCGAUCGGGGGUGGCCAUGGGAAUCUCCCCAGAAACCUGCGCAAGAAGAGUGGAAACCGGCUUGAGAAACGUGAUGAAGAUUCAAUGGGGUUGUCGAGUCGAUCAUUCGUGCGAAGCCCCUGAAAUGCCGUUGCUGAGAGAAGCCGGAGGGCAAUCUCCUGCCUGUGGGUAUAACUAACCCCGAGGUCGAUGAUUCUAAUUUCCAACAUAUUCAAGAUCGUCUUCUUAAGCUAGGUUUCGCGGAGGGUUGCUUCGAGGGACUGAGAUCCCUUGGAAAUUUACAGAUUCGAUGAAAUUGAUGAGCUCUAGAAUUGAGGCAUUUCCUAGCACAUUCCCCAAUGGUACUCAGGCAUCUCUACGGUGAGAUGAAGAGAACGGUUCCUGUAUUCCCUAAGAAGAAGGGGGAGAAAAAAUCCGGAGAAAUGCAUUAUCUCGUGAACGCAAUAUUCACGACCAAUCUGGUCCAUCCGAGCGCCACUCAAUGGCAAGAUGACCAGGCGGAGCAGGAAAUCCAGCCGACAGCGGAGAAAAUCAGAAGGAGCGCCCUCCAGAUCCGGCGCAAGGAAAGGGGGCGCGAGAAACGACAAUACGUCCUCGCAGAGGCGACGGAAGAUCCGCAGGAGUGAUCGGAGAGGAAUGCUCACCGCACUUUCGCCGUCAUGCCGGAUCGUCGAGAACUCGUUCCUGCUGCGGGAGCCGGCUGCCGCGCCAUCGUUGUGCUCCAUGGCUACUCAGGCUCCUCCUCCCCCCUCCCUUCUUGGUCGCCUUCGUUAACUGGAGACUGACAUCACACGCGAGAGAAGCGCCAGAGCCAGAUCCAGCGCCGGCCUCCCCUCCCCGCCGCUUCCCCCUCUCUCUCUCUCUCUCUCUCUCUCUCUCUCUCUNNNNNNNNNNNNNNNNNNNNNNNNNNNNNNNNNNNNNNNNNNNNNNNNNNNNNNNNNNNNNNNNNNNNNNNNNNNNNNNNNNNNNNNNNNNNNNNNNNNNNNNNNNNNNNNNNNNNNNNNNNNNNNNNNNNNNNNNNNNNNNNNNNNNNNNNNNNNNNNNNNNNNNNNNNNNNNNNNNNNNNNNNNNNNNNNNNNNNNNNNNNNNNNNNNNNNNNNNNNNNNNNNNNNNNNNNNNNNNNNNNNNNNNNNNNNNNNNNNNNNNNNNNNNNNNNNNNNNNNNNNNNNNNNNNNNNNNNNNNNNNNNNNNNNNNNNNNNNNNNNNNNNNNNNNNNNNNNNNNNNNNNNNNNNNNNNNNNNNNNNNNNNNNNNNNNNNNNNNNNNNNNNNNNNNNNNNNNNNNNNNNNNNNNNNNNNNNNNNNNNNNNNNNNNNNNNNNNNNNNNNNNNNNNNNNNNNNNNNNNNNNNNNNNNNNNNNNNNNNNNNNNNNNNNNNNNNNNNNNNNNNNNNNNNNNNNNNNNNNNNNNNNACUAUUUAUUAAUUAUUUUAUCGGACACUCCUCAGGAUCGGAUGGCCCGAAUCGCUUCGUCGGGAGUGGCGGGAAGAUCUGAGCCGUCGGCCCCGCCGAUCGUCACGUGGUGGUAUUGCGCCCGCCCCUCUGACGUGCUCCGCCCAACGACCCUCCCCGGGCAAUCCCCUGCUUUGCAUGCUGUUCGGUGACCUGUCUAUUUACAGACAUGUAGAGAGAGAAAGUGAGAGAGAGAGAGAGGAAGUAGAGAGAGAAGAGAGGAGGUUGGGGUAUUAUUUUCCUGCCAAAGAGAGCGACCGCGCAUCGGCGCGAAUAGACGCGCCACUUGCCACCCAUCAUCGUCUCGUCACUAGAGAGAGAGAGAGAGAGAGAGACAGAGAGAAAGGAGAGAGAGAGGGGGAAGAAGAUCUUGAUCUGCGGCCGUCGGUUUUGGCCGUGAUCACUCAAUCUGAUGUGGGGAGCACCGUCCGGAGCCCAGCGGGCGCAAAAUUGGAUCGGGGGCGUACAAAUUCGCGUUGUCGCUGGUCAGGGUUAUUGGGCCAAAUGGGCCUCCUUGAGACCGUUAUCCACCAGCCAUCUCUUAUGUGGCCCAGAGGUGACCCCCCUUUGUUGACUGCAGAGGUGUGUUGUGUGGUGUGUAAGCACACAAGAGCUCAAGGCAAAAGCCCUACACAAUCAACGUGGUAGUGACAUGAAUGCAUAGAUGUGCCAGUCAAAGUAAACUAUGCACAUUAAGUAAACAACAUACAUUAUGUCAACCGGUCAAAUGGGUUGUGAUAGCUGUGUUACACUCCCCCCCCCCCCCCCUCCAAGUGGGUGUGUUACCACCGCAGUCUAGAAACAACUCUAAAGCUAAGUGUGCCUAGUAACAUGCAGGUCUUGUCAAAACAUCAACUCCAAUCUAUAAGAGUGAGCUCUUAUACUCUCAUUUGAUAAGUUGAAUACUUUGAACUAAAUGCCUUCUCCAAUGUAAAUUAUGGUCUUUUAGAUGUUUGUGAAGAUGCCCAAGAUUAACUAAUGAUGGUAGAGGUGAAGUGAGCACUUUAACAUUGUUGUAAUUAGCAUCCAAAUUUUUAAAUAAUGGGAAGAGAGAGAGAGAGAGAGAGAGAGAGUGAGUGAGUGAGAGUAAUCAUACUCCUCAACUCAAUCCAAGCUAUUGAAGAGCAAGUGUUCAUACUACGUUAUUCAUUUGAAAGCAUGGAGGAGUAUUCCAAUCUUUAAAGGAGCAAUUGAAAGGCAUUUAGAGUAUUGUAGUGAGGAAUUCACAUUGGAAUCAUGGGCUACCUAAAUAUGAGUGUUCAAUCCUUAUGGACUAACUAAGAAAAAUACAACCUAUAAAUCUAGCAUGGGGCGCAAAAAAGGUUUUGAUCCUUUUGUUAUAGGAGGAAUAAUUUAUCAUCAUAUUUCACUAGAAACAUCGGACAUAUUAAUGGGUCUAUUACAUCUCUAUCUAUCCACCUCAAUGUCUAUACAAAGGAUUUCAUAUGAGAAAUUAAGAAAGGAGCAGGAGGAAAGGAUGCAUGAGACACUAAAAUCUCUUGUUGUUGACACUAAAAGUGUUCUAAUGACAAGUGACAUGUCCCAUCAAAGGGUCCCUAAUCUAGUAGCAUUUAGAUUUAAAACAUUAGUUUAAAAUGAUAUACACAUAAGAGUGAAACAUGCACCUCUUAAAUCAUGUAAAGUCACUUUAGUAAUCAAAGCUUAGAAGGAUAUAAUAUACUUCAUAAUAAUCUCAAUAGAUCAUGUCACAACUAUAGUAAGUAUAAAUUUUCUCAUCAUAGGUUAAAUAGUAAUUACUAUUUAAUUAUAAGAUAAUAUCUCUUCUAAAAAACUAAAACAUUAUGUUUUGAAAAAAUUAAUAAUCAAGUACUCAUGACUAGAGAUAUUGUUCAUCACUCAACCUAAGCGUGAAUUAAGAAAGGGUUAAAUAAUAUUGUUGUCGCCUUAUAAGAUUGUGACAUGAUACUUACAUGUGUCAAACAUGACAUCGACUAUCACUCAAGAUGUGGAUGUGUCACAUAUUCAAUUCAAUGUAAGUAUCUUAUGUUGGGCUUUAGGCAAAGCUAAGGUCAAGAAAAGGGGGUUGAAGUGACUAGACAUCUUCUUUUGAAGGACUUUUUUUUAUAUAUCAUUUAAUAUUUUUUAUUAUGUUAACUAUUUUUAUUCAAAAUUAGUUUACAUUCAUUAUUCAAAAACAUACCUUAUUUUUUAGUCUCACUAAUUAGAUCAACUAAUUGCACCAAAUGAUUACAAUGACUCAAUUCUUAUAGAAUUUCUCACAUAAAAGUUUCUUCUAAAUUCACAACUCUAUGCAAGCCAAAUCAAUAUUUAACGAGACUACUCUCACAUUUGAUUAAUUAAAUAUAUAAUUAACCCAAUAAGUGUAGAUAAUGUUGAGUUUGAUUUUGGAAGAUGAUCAUUGUGUGUUCUAGUUUUCAACAAUACAAUAUGAGUGUAUAAUAUUUUAUUUGUCUUCUUACUAUCGAUUUUGAUGGAUGUGUGAUUGAAGACUUCAGCCUUGAACAACUCGAGGAGAGACUUUUGAUAUAUCGUAAAUGUUUCUUAAGAGAAUGUAUUCAUGAUCCAUGUACAACUAGCAGUUCUUCUUAGAAUAUUUAGAAUGGUAAAAAUAGUUGUUAUUUAGUUCUUUUCAUUAGAGAUUAGUUAUAUUAUAAGUAAAUCAUGUAUAAGUUUUUCAAUAUUCUCUAAUUUCUAUAUUUAUUUUAAAUAUAAUUUAAUUCAAAAUUACUAUGAAACUAAUAUGACAUGUCAUUUCAUUUUUAAAUAUUUUUUGAAGAAACCAACACAUGAAUCAUUAUAUAAUGUUACAUUAUUUUACUUAAUUAUGAUAAGAAUCUAAUAAAGUCCAUAAUGAAUCUAAUAAGACAUGUCUUAUAAAAGUAAUGAUUUCUCAUUCAAAUGUUAUUCAAAUUCAAUUAAAUAAGAUAUGAAAUUAAAGCUUAUUUUUAAAUCACAAUCUUAAUAUUUCAAAUCAUUGCGUAUCUAUUGAGAGUAAUUUUAUAAUUUUUAAUAUAUAAUUAAUUAUAUUCAAAAAAUAUUAUUAUAUGAAAAACAAUACUCAAUCGAUAAUUUGACUAAAUCGAUAUUGAAUUCAUUUGCUCAUAUUAAAGUAAAAUCAUAAGAUUAUAAGUUAUUUAUUAAGUUGUCAUAUUUAUAUUUUACUUCAUCAAAAAAUUUUUAUUUACAUAUUCAAAUUAUAAUUUUCUAGAUUUAAGGAUUUAUGUAACUAAUGAUGAUCUACACAUUAACACGUAAGAUGACGAAUUCUUAUAAUAUUGUGACACAACUAUAUUGAUGCAUAAUAUGAGUUUUUUAUAUAUUCAAUUAAGCUUUCAUUUGUAUGUCUAAAAUCAUGAUUUGAAUAAUAUACAUAUUUAUGGAAAUUUUUAUAUUCAUGUGUAUAUAAUUCAAGAGACAUGUACUUCUUAUAGAGUAGAAAUGGAUGCACCACAAGUAGUUAUAAAGUCAUAUGUUAGACAAUAAUUCAAAUUUAUGCUCCUUGUCUCUCUAAAAUUUAUUGCAAGUCAUAUACAUCACUACUAAAUACUUAUCAAUCAUUGUUGACUUUGUUACAUAUAUAAUUUUGUGCAUGCUGGAGGCAUUAAGGUGACAUAUUUUGAUCAUUAGAAAAUGAUCCAAGAUCAUUUUGUGCAACACAAACUACUUCUCAAAGAUAGAGUUAAUUUAUAGAUAAUACAAAGUUAAUAUAAAGUAAUCAGGUGAGUUAUAAAGUCAAUAUUUGAUGUGAUAUGACCUAUACAGAUGAUGAUGAUGUCAUUUAGGUUCAUCAACACGUCAACAAACUUGUAGACAUUAACAAGUACUAUCUUUUGUAAGUAUAACAUUUAUCCAUUGUGCACAUAGAUGACAUUUUGGUAUACAAUAAUACCUUAAAAAAGGUAUUAUAAUAUCCAUAUAAAGUACUCAUGAAAUUAAAAAUGUAUCAAUUGUUCUUCAACCCAAUUGAAUCAUCAACUUAUGACAAUUCAUAAACGUGUCUAGAAAAAAAAUGUUUCAAUACUUAGGUUUAUCUUCUAUCCAUAAGUAAAAUUACAUUAUAUGUAUAACAUUUGAUAGAGAUUUUUAUGGCACACACAAUAAUGAUAUAACACUACAUAUAAAGGUCAGACACAUGAGACAUGCAACAAUUGUGCAGCACGGCACAUGUAAAUGCAUGUAAAGUGAAUAUAUACAUGAGAGUUCAGGAUGGUAAUUAUAUAACCAGCUUCACAAGAACUAAGGAUGGUAUACCACAAUCAAGGUAGUGGUGGACCAAGCACACUAAAUAAAUAAAGUGUAUUAAGUGGAAGGUCAGAUUGUAUAACAAAUGUAGACCGCUCCUCUCCCAAAAAAGGAGAAUAUUAUUUUGGGAGGAGUGUAAGUGAUGUUGAAGUAAAAUGAUGAAAGAAUGGGGAGAGCUCUUUUAUAACAAGUGGGUGAAUUUGACCUAUUAGAGCAGGUCAUCUUUCGCGAGUUCUUGUAUUUUCACUUGAGAAGUUAAAUACUUACUUUUAGGGAGCAAGAGCUUUCUACAGCAACAAGUUAGAUUAUUUCGGCAUUACUGAAGAUAUCUAAGAGGGACACAUUACGUAGAGGUGAGGUAAACCGGAACAGUGGACCCAUCCCAGGAUACCUCUCUCUCUCUCUCUCUCUCUCUCUCUCUCUCUCUCUCUCUCUCUCUCUAGCUAGCUAGCUAGCUAGCAGUCUAUCUAUCUAUGUGAGAUGGGUGAAAUCAGGCGGUUUCUGAUGCUCCGAAGCGAGGGUUGGCGCGCAUCCCACACGUGCUGAAUGAGCCUCACAGCCACACACGUAAGCUAAGCCCGACGAAGCAGUGGCAGAGCCCCACCCCUUGAGAGCUCCUUGCUCCGCAAGGAAUCCCACCCUUGGACCAUCGCUGUCUCUCUCUCUGUCCUCCCCAUCUCUCUCAAAGACGCGGUCGUGGUCAAAGAUGAAGGCUCGUGUCUUAGUCUGGCAUGGGAAAGACAGUGGGAGGUGGGGCCUGCAAACGAACUAGCGCGCGCAUCGGAUCUGAAGACGACCAAUGGGAGGAGGAAGAGGGCCUCCAAGGUCGCCCCCACCCCCCAACAGCCGUCUCUCUCGAAAGACCCGAGCUUUCCGAAUAUUCUUCCGCCGUCGGGCACUGUGCGCCGGCGAUGGCCCCGUGACUCCCAGUCCAAGUGUUCCUCGACUCCCCUCCUCUGCCGUGCGGCGCAAGGAUCCGCCUCACCUCCCCCCACCACCCUUCAUUCCCCUCAUCCAUUAAACCGCAACCCCACCUCCUCCGCACACUCGCAGGAGGUGCAGAGGUGAGGCGACGGCUCCGUGCCGCAGAUUCUUCCUUCCCUCCCACCCUCUCUUCUCAUUCGGAGAAGGGUCGAGCCAUGGGCCUCCUCCCGGAGCCCUUCUUCCUGCGCGGGCUGUCCGCCUCGUGCCACCUCGGGCUACUGCUGCUCCUCUCCGUCGUCUGGUCUCGCAGGAUCUGCCGCCACGGGAGGUCCAACAAGAUCACUCAGGGCGGCCGAUUCCGGCUCUACACGGCGGCCCUCUUGUCCUCCCUCUGCCUGGCUCUCUUCUACCUCUCCCUCUCCGUUUUCAACUUCUUCUGGUUUCCGCACGGAAGAUGGUCGACCGAAGAACUCGCCGUGCAGGUCGACUUGGCCGCGAGGGCCGUCGCUUGGUCGGCGGCGUGCGCCUACCAGCGGGUCGAGUUCGCUCACUGGGAAGGGAGGAGAUUCCCGCUCUUCCUGAGGGCCUGGUGGCUCCUCUACCUUCUGCUGUCCUCCUCCUUCCUCCUCCUCGACCUCCUGUAUCAUCGGAGGCUCGGCGGUCUCCCCGUCCACCUCUGGGUGGCCGACGUUGGGUCGGCUCCCUUCGCCUUGCUCACGGGCUAUGCCGCGCUGUGUGGCGAAAGGGUGGAAGAAUACGAAGACUCCCGUGAGCCUCUCUUGAAUGGAGGCGCCGUCGACGGCCCGAAGAAGAGAGGGAGGGGAGAUACCGAGUCGCCGUUCUCAAGUGCCGGGAUCCUCAGUCUGCUCACCUUCUCCUGGAUGAACCCUCUGUUCUCUGUGGGCUACAGGAAAACCUUGGACCUAGACGACGUCCCGCAGCUUGCGGACAACGACAGAGUCGACGGGGUCUUCCCCAUUUUCAAAGAGAAGCUUGAAUCAUACGCCAGCCCUCAUGGCGGUAGCGGCGCUCGCCCGGGCGCCGACGACGAUAGGGGCGGAGUGAAGACUCUCCAUUUGGUGAAAGCCUUGGUGUUCUCUGCAUGGCCGCUGAUUCUGUGGACGGCGUUCUGCGCCCUCGUGUACACAGUGUCCAGCUACGUAGGUCCUUGGCUCAUCGACUCCUUCGUUCAGUUCCUCAAUGGCCGCCGGAGAACUCCGAACGAAGGGUACCUGCUCGUCACCGGCUUCAUCUUGGCGAAGAUCUUCGAGGGCCUUUCGCAGAGAUACUGGUUCUUCAGCUUGCAGCAGGCUGGGGUCAGGGUUAGGGCCUCCCUCGUGGCGAUGAUCUACCAGAAGGGCAUCGCCCUGUCGAGCAGCUCGCGGCAGGGGCGCACCAGUGGGGAGGUCAUCAACCUCAUGAGCGUCGACGCAGACAGAGUCGGGCUUUUCAGCUGGUACAUGCACGAUCUGUGGAUGGUGCCGAUUCAGGUCACUUUGGCCCUGCUCAUUCUGUACUCCAAUCUCGGCCUGGCCUCCCUCGCCGCCAUGGCGGCCACAGUUCUGGUCAUGCUGGCGAAUCUUCCGUUGGGCAAGAUGCAGGAGAGGUACCAGGAGAAGCUGAUGGCGUCCAAGGACACGAGGAUGAAGACCAUGGCGGAGAUCCUGAGGAACAUGAGGAUCCUCAAGCUCCAGGCCUGGGAGAUGAAGUUCCUGUCCAAGGUGGUCGAGCUGAGGAAGAAGGAGACCGGCUGGCUGAAGAAGUACGUCUACACGUCCGCCAUGAUCACCUUUGCCUUCUGGGGAGCCCCCACCUUCGUCUCCGUGGUCACCUUUGGGACCUGCAUGCUGAUGGGCAUCCCACUGGAGUCUGGGAAGGUCCUGUCGGCGCUCGCCACCUUCAGAGUCCUGCAGGAGCCCAUCUACAAUCUCCCGGACACCGUCUCCAUGGUCAUCCAGACCAAGGUCUCCCUCGACAGGUUAUCAACCUUCCUCAGGCUCGAGGAGCUGAAGCCCGACGUCGUCGAGAAGCUCCCCCGGGGAAGCACAGACGCCGUCGUCGAGGUAAAAGACGGGACCUUCUCUUGGGAUCCUUCGGCGGAGGAUGCCACCCUGAAGGACCUGAACUUCACCAUCCUCCGCGGCAUGACCGUCGCCGUCUGCGGCGGCGUCGGCUCCGGGAAGUCGACCUUGCUGUCCUGCAUCCUGGGGGAGGUGCCGAAGACUUCGGGGAGCAUCAGGCUGUGCGGGACGACCGCCUACGUAUCUCAGUCGCCAUGGAUUCAGAGCGGCAAGAUCGAGGAAAACAUUCUCUUCGGGAAGGAGAUGGAGAGGAGCAGGUACGAGCAGGUCCUGGAAGCGUGCUCCCUGAAGAAAGACCUGGAGAUUCUGCCCUUCGGAGACCAGACCGUCAUCGGCGAGAGGGGAAUCAACCUCAGCGGCGGGCAGAAGCAGAGAAUCCAGAUCGCCCGCGCCCUGUACCACGACGCCGAUGUCUUCCUCUUCGACGACCCCUUCAGCGCCGUCGACGCCCACACGGGAACCCAUCUCUUCAAGGUGCGGACUUUCUCCCUAUCCUCCUGUUUUUCUCGAUUCUUUCCGCUGAUGACGGGGCGGCUCACCGGACGGAGAUGGCUGGGUCUCUGACUGGAAAACAGGAGUGCCUGCUGGAGAUGCUCUCUUCGAAGACCGUCAUCUUUGUGACCCACCAGGUGGAGUUCUUGCCGUCCGCCGAUCUCAUUCUGGUGAGAGCACGCUCUUCUUCUUGCCUGUUUGCUUGCUUGCUUGCCUGCUGUGAUCGAACCGAGCGGCAAUGGCUUCAUCCUGCAAUCUCCGCAGGUUAUGAAGCAGGGGAGGAUCACCCAAGCGGGCAAGUACAGCGAUAUCCUCUGCCCGGGGACAGACUUCAUGGAGCUCGUCGGCGCCCACAGGGACGCCCUGUCGGCUCUCGACUCCGUGGACUUCUCCCCCGGAAGCGGCGUCGGCGGAAGCGCGGAAGACAAUCCGAAGGCGACGACCCACAACAAUGACAUCCACGGAGUCGAACAGAACGGCAAAGCGGGCGACGGCGCCGUCCCGGCGGGGCAGCUCGUGCAGGAGGAGGAGAGGGAGAAGGGAAGGGUCGACUUCUCCGUCUACUGGAGGUACUUGACGACGGCGUACAAGGGGGCGCUCGUGCCGUUCAUCCUGCUGGCGCAGAUCCUCUUCCAAGGCCUUCAGAUCGCCAGCAACUACUGGAUGGCCUGGGCGGCCCCCCCGGCGAAAGGCGCUCCUCCUCCGGUCAGCUCCUUCGCCCUCAUCGCCGUCUACGUGGGCCUGGCUCUGGGGAGCUCGCUCUGCGUUCUCUUCAGGGCCCUGCUCGUCGCCACGGCCGGGUACAAGACGGCGACCCUGCUCUUCAACAAGAUGCACGCCUGCAUCUUCCGGGCUCCGAUGGCCUUCUUCGAUUCUACGCCCAGCGGCCGCAUCCUGAACCGGGUGAGCGAUCGAUCACUCCCCUGUAGGUGUGAGAAGCGUUUACCUCCGAGCUCGGAUGAUCAGAGAGAGAGAGGUCCGUUUUUUCCGCAGGCAUCCACGGACCAGAGCGAGGUCGACACCUCCUUCGCCCCCCAGAUCGGCUCCUUCGCUUUCUCGGUGAUCCAGCUUCUCGGAAUCGUCGCCGUCAUGUCUCAGGUCGCCUGGCAGGUCUUCAUCGUCUUUGUCCCGGCGAUCGCCGUCUGCGUCUGGUACCAGGUGGGCACCUCGUCUCUCUACGCGCCGCAAUCGCCGAUAGUCAAAUCAAAUCUUCCGAUUCUCCGAGCAUCACCGUCGUCGGCGUGCAGCAAUACUACAUCUCGACGGCGCGGGAGCUGGCGAGGCUGGUCGGGGUGUGCAAGGCUCCGAUUAUACAGCAUUUCGCAGAGUCGCUGUCGGGGUCGACGACGAUCCGGAGCUUCGACCAGAAGGCGAGGUUCGUGGAGACGAACUUCCAUCUGAACGACCGAUACUCGAGCCCCAAGUUCCACAAUGCCGCGGCGAUGGAGUGGCUCUGCCUCCGCCUGGACGCACUAGCGACGGCCAUCUUCGCCUUCUCUCUGCUCUUCCUCGUCUCCGUCCCCGUGGGAACCAUCAGCCCGGGCAAGUGCAGCCUCCCGUUUCUCCGACCCUCCGCUGGCCCAGCGCCGCCGUGAAAAUGACCCUUUCCUCUCGUCUUCCUUCCGCAGCCAUCGCCGGCGUGGCCGUGAGCUACGGGCUGAACCUGAACAUGCUUCAAGCCUGGGUCAUCUGGAACCUCUGCAACCUCGAGAACAAGAUCAUCUCCGUGGAGAGGAUACUCCAGUACACGUCUAUUCCCAGCGAGCCUCCGCUCGCCGUCGAAUCCCACCGGCCCAACUCCAGCUGGCCGUCGCUGGGGGAGGUAGAAAUCCGCAGCCUGCAGGUCCGGUACGCGCCGCAGAUGCCCCUGGUGCUGAGAGGGUUGACCUGCGUCCUCCCGGGGGGGAAGAAGACGGGCAUCGUCGGGAGAACAGGGAGCGGCAAGUCCACUCUGAUCCAGACGCUCUUCCGGAUCGUUGACCCCUCCGCCGGCCAGAUCCUGAUCGACGGGACCGACAUCCAGACCGUGGGGCUGCACGACCUGAGAUCCCGGCUGGGGAUCAUCCCCCAGGACCCGACCAUGUUCGAGGGCACCCUCCGCAGCAACCUCGAUCCCCUGGAGGAGCACACAGACGAGGAGAUAUGGCAGGUGCCUGUUACUCCACCCCACCCUUCUCUCUCCUUCAUCCCCUCGCCUUCCGCCCUUCUUCUUCCUCCUCCUGAUUCCUGCUGCUGCUGCUGCUGCCGCUGCAGGCGUUGGACAGGUGCCAGCUUGGAGACGAAGUCAGGAGAAGAGAAGCAAGGCUCGACUCCUCAGGUUUCCAUCGUCCGCCUUGCUCUCUUCUGAUCGCGUCCCCUCCUCCCUCUGGUUUCUAUCUGGAUCGUGACAAUCGCCGCCGCCGGGUUUUCUUCCGCCAGUGACGGAGAACGGCGAGAACUGGAGCAUGGGCCAGCGGCAGCUGGUCUGCCUGGGGAGGGUCAUACUCAAGAGGAGCAAGAUCUUGGUCCUGGACGAAGCCACCGCCUCUGUGGACACGGCGACCGACAGCCUGAUACAGAAGACGCUGAGGCAGCAGUUCUCGGGCUCCACCGUCCUCACCAUCGCCCACAGGAUAACCUCCGUUCUGGACAGCGACAUGGUCCUCCUCCUCGACAACGGUUCGUAGCUCCUCUCUCUUCCGCGGCGCGGCCUUGCGGGACCGUUCUCUUUCUGAUCGGAGCCCGCCCCAUCGGGUGUUGCUGUGAUGCCAGGCGCCAUCGCAGAGUUCGACUCCCCCUCUCGACUGCUCGAGAACAAGUCGUCGCUGUUCGCCAAGCUCGUCUCGGAGUACAGCGUCAGGUCCAGCGCAAGCUUUGAGAGGCUGGACGAGCUCUGAAGCAGCGGAGGGCUUCUGCCCGCCGCUCCUCGGCCCAGAUCCGUCCCCCGGCGUCAUCUCUGCAACUGCACCGGAGACGCACGGGUCGUUCUUCUCCACCGCCGUGACCGUCCCGGCCAACGCUGCCUCUCUCUCGCGCGCGCGCUCUCGCUCCUCGACGGCGGUGGCUGGCCGUCCAGCACUUCGUCUCUCUCUCUCUCUCUCUCUCUCUCUCCGGCGCUGAAGUCGAUUGAUUUCCUUGUUUCUGGCCGGCUGGUACUGGUCCGAUCUCCUUCCAAGAUGACGGGAGGACGACAGUCCCUACCGUCUCCUUCCGGAUAGCCCCCACCUUCUCCCGCGUCGGACAAAAAGCCCGGGGGGACGUGGAAAAGUCAACAAUGGUCGCAUUUAACUUUGAUCUGGGCCCCGAGGAAAAAGGCUCCCAUUAAGACACGUGUCAAACGGACUUUUUGCCACUUGAAGGAGUUGCUCCUCUGAUUUCGUGCCACGCGUCCUUCCAGCCGGUCUUGGUAGUCUGGAGGAGCAUUUAUAUAAUUGGCCGCGUGGCGCCGUCUCGAUACCCCAAGGGAAAGCCACGUGACGCAGACGUCGCCGCAUGCCGUGUUCUCGUAAUUUGGCUCGACAAAAUUGGCGGCGAAACCGCCGCCGUGUAUCGGCGAGGGAGCUGGAGGCCGCCUCCAGGCGGCGGCGGAGCGGCGGCUCGAGGGACUUGCGGAGUCGCAGAUCAUCGGCUUCAGGUGGCCGGUUGAAUGGAUUACAGACAGAGUCACAGAUCACACGGGGAGAGGAGAAGAUNNNNNNNNNNNNNNNNNNNNNNNNNNNNNNNNNNNNNNNNNNNNNNNNNNNNNNNNNNNNNNNNNNNNNNNNNNNNNNNUCGGCGACGGCGACGGCGCCGGAGCUCCGGCCGUCCAUCCCUGUGUACUAUUCCUUCCUUUAGACGGAGCCUUCCGCGUUGGCGCUGCUCGUGGAUCCCCUCCGGCCGACUGAGGUAUUCUUCAGUAUCUGCCGACACAACGGAGAAGGUGAGAGAUCGGAACCUGCCCGCCCGCCGUUAGCAUCGUCUGCCCUAGAAGUGGGGUUGAUGGGCGGCGCCACGCAGUGGAAACGAAGCCGCGGGGGAAAAUAGUAGACCAGCGGGGUCAUGGCCGCCCACCCCCCACCAGAUCCCGGACAUUCUCCGGGACACGACAUCGACAAGUGGAGGCGUGGGCCAGUUGACUGAGACAGGAUUGGACAGCUGUCGUGGUGGAUCUCGCCAUGGCGGCGAAGACCCAGCCGGAGAAGAACCAUACGGAGGGGAAACCAGGACGGAGCGAGGGGAGGGAGAGACUUUUCACGUACGUGUCUGAGCAUCUGGUUCUCGUUCUGGAGGGUGGAGAGGCGCUCCUCCAGCUCGGAGUUGCGCUUCUCGAGCUCCUUCACCUUCGCCUCGAGGUCGUUCAGGUAGGCCUUCUUCCUCUCUCGGGCCUGCUGCGCUGACACCCUGUUCCUCAGCAACCUGCCACCCCGGAGGACAGAGCGAGAGGGAGAGAGAGAGAGAGAUUGAGAGAACGAUCUUGGGAGGAGCCUCUGCUGGACGAUGGGGGCCUUCAAUGGACUGGCAGGUUCUCACCUCUUGAGGCGUUUGUGCUCCUUGUCAGCGGGAUCUCUGCCCCUCUUCCGCUGCAGGCCGGCCUCGGAGGAGGCAGCCUGCCUCCGCUCCGUCGCCGCCGCCGAGGACACCUCCCUCCCGGAGAUGGACGUCCCCGCCGGUGGCUCUCCUCCGAAAUCCGGCACCCUCCUGAUCUCGUCGUCGCUCUCUAUACCUGCGUCGAUUAAAAAAAAACGGAUUUCCAGCAAAAGAAAUCUCAGAGAUCAGCGCCGGAAUCGAAACCCAGGUGACGGAUUCUUGCGGGAGAAGAAAUCGACGCGUGAACUAGAGAGAGAAAGAGAGAGAGGAAAUGAAGAAAGGAGCAAUUCGUCGGAAUCGAAGGAAACCUGUCGCGGAGAUUUUUCAAAAGAGGACAAAGAAGAUCCAAAGUCCAAGGAGAGAUCUCCUCUCCCGGCGGUAAGUAAGCCAAGGCGAAAACCCUACUCCUCGACCCAAAUCGGAGAAAGCGGGACGGGGGAUGUCACCUUCUUUCACCUGGUGCACCGCCGAACUCGACGACCUCUCGCUGCUCGACGGCAGCGAGCUCGUCGCCUGCUCCUGCAUUCUGUCCCACCACGAUCCCUACUCAAGCGCGCCCUGCAGGUGGCGAUGGAGCUCGCUGGAGCGGGGAGAGACGCAGCCCAGAGAGAGAGAGAGAGAGAGAGAGAAGACGACAGAGAAAAGGGAUUCAGC
rnacentral:lncRNA from 1 species